rnacentral:piRNA from 1 species
AUGGGUCACCUUUUUCUCUGGACC